UAUUCCAGCCCGGCUACCCUUGUCCUUCCUGCUAUGAAAUUUGUGAGGAAUUUGCAAAGCUCUUGCAUUUAACCUGUAAAAAGCUGUUGGACAGAGUUCAAGAGGACAAAAAAGGAGGCAGAAGACUCCAGUUUGAGACAGAUCCGAAGCAUUCCUCAGCUUAAACAGCUUAAUUCCUGCAGCCUACGCAAAGGGAGGUAGUCCCUCAAAGUGUGCUGAAGGUCCCAUUUGAACCUUUUCAUCCCACCAGAACCAUCCUGUAAUUGUAGCCUCUCUCUUCCUGGAACAGGGGAAAAUUAAGGACCCUCUUGCUUCAGAGAACUUCACUGCUUCUUCACACUGUCCUUGAACUAUUUUAAGAUUUGAAAAAUUACAAAUGGAGGCCUUUUGAACAAAAUACAGUCCAUCUGCAUGUCCAGAUAUAUGCAGGUUAAGAUCUAUUCAGCUAUGGUUGAGAUAUGCAGAUUAUGAGCAUCUGUCUAUGAAGAUGAUGUCUCCCUGCUCUGCCACAUGUCAAAGUU